AGUGAACGCUGGCGGUAGGCCUAACACAUGCAAGUCGAACGGCAGCACAGUAAGAGCUUGCUCUUACGGGUGGCGAGUGGCGGACGGGUGAGGAAUACAUCGGAAUCUACUUUUUCGUGGGGGAUAACGUAGGGAAACUUACGCUAAUACCGCAUACGACCUACGGGUGAAAGCAGGGGAUCUUCGGACCUUGCGCGAUUGAAUGAGCCGAUGUCGGAUUAGCUAGUUGGCGGGGUAAAGGCCCACCAAGGCGACGAUCCGUAGCUGGUCUGAGAGGAUGGUCAGCCACACUGGAACUGAGACACGGACCAGACUCCUACGGGAGGCAGCAGUGGGGAAUAUUGGACAAUGGGCGCAAGCCUGAUCCAGCCAUACCGCGUGGGUGAAGAAGGCCUUCGGGUUGUAAAGCCCUUUUGUUGGGAAAGAAAAGCAGCAGGUUAAUACCCCGCUGUUCUGACGGUACCCAAAGAAUAAGCACCGGCUAACUUCGUG
rnacentral:rRNA from 1 species